rnacentral:tRNA from 1 species
GAAAAAGUUAUAGGGAUUAUAGGAUUGGCUUGAAACCAAUUUCAGAGGGUUCGAUUCCUUCCUUUUUUG